rnacentral:rRNA from 1 species
UACGUAGGGUGCGAGCGUUAAUCGGAAUUACUGGGCGUAAAGCGUGCGCAGGCGGCCUUGCAAGACAGAUGUGAAAUCCCCGGGCUCAACCUGGGAACGGCAUUUGUGACUGUAAGGCUAGAGUACGGCAGAGGGGGAUGGAAUUCCGCGUGUAGCAGUGAAAUGCGUAGAUAUGCGGAGGAACACCAAUGGCGAAGGCAAUCCCCUGGGCCUGUACUGACGCUCAUGCACGAAAGCGUGGGGAGCAAACAGG